rnacentral:rRNA from 1 species
GACGAACGCUGGCGGCGUGCUUAACACAUGCAAGUCGAACGGAAAGGCCCUGCUUUUGUGGUGUGCUCGAGUGGCGAACGGGUGAGUAACACGUGUGUAACCUGCCCUUGACUUUGGGAUAACUUCAGGAAACUGGGGCUAUUACCGGAUAGGAGCUCCUGCUGCAUGGUGGGGGUUGGAAAGUUUCGGCGGUUGGGGAUGGACUCGCUGCUUAUGAGCUUGUUUGUGGGGUAGUGGCUUACCAAGGCUUUGACGGGUAGCCGGCCUGAGAGGGGGACGGGCGACAUUGGGACUGAGAUACGGCCCAGAAGCGUACGGGAGGCAACAGGGGGGAAUAUUGCAGAAUAGGCGGAAGCGUGAUGCAACAACGCCGCGUGCGGGAUGACGGCCUUCGGGGUGUAAACAGCUGUCGACUGUGACGAAGAGUGAGUGACGGUAAUGGGUAAAGAAGCACCGGCUAACUACGUG